CACAGCAUGGACACGAGGGCCCCCACUCAGCUCCUGGGCUUCCUGCUGCUCUGGUUCCCAGGUGCCAGCUGUGCCAUCCAACUGACCCAGUCUCCAUCCUCCCUGUCUGCAUCACUAGGAGACACAGUCACCAUCACUUGCCAGGCCAGUCAGGGCGUUAGCAAUUAUUUACACUGGUAUCAGCAGAAACCUGGGAAUUCGCCUAAGCUCCUGAUCUAUUCUACAUCCAAUUUGUACCCUGGGGUCCCAUCAAGGUUCAGAGGCAGUGGGUCAGGGACAGAUUAUUCUCUGACCAUCAGUGGCCUGCAGGCUGAAGAUGUUGCAGAUUAUUACUGUCAACAUGGUUAUGGUACCCCCACACAGUGUUACAAGCCUGAACAUAAACCUCCCAGGGAAGCAGGUGUGUGA